rnacentral:rRNA from 1 species
AUUGAACGCUGGCGGCAUGCCUUACACAUGCAAGUCGAACGGCAGCAUGAUCUAGCUUGCUAGAUUGAUGGCGAGUGGCGCACGGGUGAGUAAUACAUCUGAACGUGCCCUGUAGUGGGGGAUAACUAGUCGAAAGAUUAGCUAAUACCGCAUACGACCUGAGGGUGAAAGUGGGGGACCGCAAGGCCUCAUGCUAUAGGAGCGGCCGAUGUCUGAUUAGCUAGUUGGUGAGGUAAAGGCUCACCAAGGCGACGAUCAGUAGCUGGUCUGAGAGGACGAUCAGCCACACUGGGACUGAGACACGGCCCAGACUCCUACGGGAGGCAGCAGUGGGGAAUUUUGGACAAUGGGCGAAAGCCUGAUCCAGCAAUGCCGCGUGUGUGAAGAAGGCCUUCGGGUUGUAAAGCACUUUUGUCCGGAAAGAAAUGGCUCUGGUUAAUACCUGGGGUCGAUGACGGUACCGGAAGAAUAAGGACCGGCUAACUACGUG